UCUCUUUCAACAUUCUCCAAAUACUGACGUCUUCUUAAAAAAGGUUGUCAGAGUUCAUCAGCAAGAGUUCAUCAGCAAUAUCACAAUUCAAAAAAUGCGAUGGAAAACACUUAUCUUAGCAAUAUCACAAUUCAAAAAAUGCGAUGGAAAACACUUAUCUUUGCAUUAACCAGACGUUUAAAUUUGGCAAAGAUCGCCUUAAUCGUCGCAGUUAUUCUAUUAUUCAGGUUCUUGAGUAGUAUGUUACUAACUGAGGGAGGAAUCUACAGAUUGAUUUUAAAAUAAGAAGUCUUCCAUUAUAAAUCAAGUAUAUUGCUGCAGUUUGAAGGUAGAUUCUUUCUCUUAUUUUGUCGGUUGAACUUACUAUAUAGUAAUAGAUACGAAAACUUUAUUAUUUUACAUGUUGAAGAAGAAGCAGAUAAGUGUUGCUUAAUGAUGCCUCAAAAAUCGAACUUAUUAUAUAGUAAUUGAUAUGAAAACUUUAUUAUUGUACAUGUUGAAGAAGACGCAAAUAAGUUUUGUUUAAUUAUGCCACAAAAAUCGAAUAGGUAAUAGAUUUUCUACCCAAUUGUGGAUAGCAGAAGCAUUCG